AGAGGAGGGACCAAAACACAUGUGAACGGACUUGAGGCUGCAGGCAUGGGGGAAUCCACCAUCUGACAGUCAAGACGCCUUAUGAAGCCCAGCAGCUCGUCAGGAGAAUCCUCAGCAGGUGAACACAAUCAG